ensembl:snRNA U6 U6 spliceosomal RNA
GUGCUUGCUUCGGCAGCACACAUACUGAAAUUGGAAUACUAGCAUGGCCCCUGCAUAAGAAUGACAUGCAAAUUCCUGAGCUACACAGAAGCCUA